rnacentral:lncRNA from 1 species
GAUUCAUAAAAGGGCCUCUAUGGUGUGUGAGAAAGAAUAUCUGUGUGCCUAGGCAGGAAACUUUUUGAUCUACAGAAAAGCCAGAAGACAUCUAGCAUACCAGAAUAGGAGUCCUGUCUUAACUGAGCAAUAUACACUAUGGAGAGAUCCUUCAAAACCCGUCGGGACGAAUAACAGAUGAAUUCAUAAAACUGUUCAUCUCUGUUAUCCUGAAUGGUCACUCAGACAACAUUUUACUCAACUAUAAAGGGGAACACUUAAAGUGCAUAUGAGAAGAGAAGAGAAUGACCACAGGAGAAAAUCAUCUCAGCUUUCUCCACCCAGGGCAAAGGCAACAACAACAAACGUCCUAUACUCAAGCCGACUGACCUCAUCUCGUUCCACCCCACCUCAUCCAAUCAGAAAUCUCACACGCUCCAGGCAAGAGCUCAAGUCAGUCACCGAUAGGCUGACAGAUCCGGAUCACGAGCAAUACGCAUGCUUUUUUACUGCGCAUGCUCAGGCAAGGCAGUAAACAUGGAGAAGCAUAUUGUGUGAUGUUCUAUAUUUAUGAGACCCAUAGCAAACUGUGAAGAGAUAACAGAAUGCUUUUUGCGUGAGCUGAAACAGUAGAUGAAAUCUUUCAUUAAAAUUACUCAUACUUUGGGUCCUAUUCUUAUUUAUAAAUAAAUAUUAUUGCAAACAUU